GUAAAAGCAUUGACUAGGACCAGUAAAUUGGAAGCAGCAAAAGAGAGUGGGGCUCAAGGCUGGGAGGUCCCAUAGCACCGCUUCCUUUUGAACCUACCUAUGAGCUGUUAGGAAAACCUAACCGUAUUUCUGCGAUAAAGAAACGAAGCAGGGAAUAUCUAUUCCAACUAAGGUGGUACCGCGGAGCCAUUCCGUCCUUUUU
rnacentral:ncRNA from 1 species